rnacentral:misc_RNA from 1 species
AGCAGCCGCGGUAAUUCCAGCUCCAAUAGCGUAUAUUAAAGUUGUUGCAGUUAAAAAGCUCGUAGUUGAAUUUCGGGAUCAAUACGUCGGUCGUGCUUCGGUACGUACUGGCGUAAUUGAUUUCUCCCUUCUGACGAACCAUGAUGUCAUUAACUUGGUGUCAUGGGAAAUCAGGACUGUUACUUUGAAAAAUUAGAGUGUUUAAAGCAGGCUCACGCUUGAAUACAUUAGCAUGGAAUAAUGAAAUAGGACGUUCGAUCCUAUUUUGUUGGUUUUUAGGAUCAACGUAAUGAUUAAUAGGGAUAGUUGGGGGCAUUAGUAUUCAAUUGUCAGAGGUGAAAUUCUUGGAUUUAUUGAAGACUAACUACUGCGAAAGCAUUUGCCAAGGAUGUUUUCAUUAAUCAAGAACGAAAGUUAGGGGAUCGAAGACGAUCAGAUACCGUCGUAGUCUUAACCAUAAACUAUGCCGACUAGGGAUCGGAUGAUGUUAAUUUUUUAAUGACUCAUUCGGCGCCUUACG